CCUACGGGAGGCAGCAGUGGGGAAUAUUGGACAAUGGGCGAAAGCCUGAUCCAGCAAUGCCGCGUGAGUGAUGAAGGCCUUAGGGUUGUAAAGCUCUUUUACCAGGGAUGAUAAUGACAGUACCUGGAGAAUAAGCUCCGGCUAACUCCGUGCCAGCAGCCGCGGUAAUACGGAGGGAGCUAGCGUUAUUCGGAAUUACUGGGCGUAAAGCGUACGUAGGCGGUUAUUCAAGUCAGAGGUGAAAGCCCGGGGCUCAACCCCGGAACUGCCUUUGAAACUAGAUAACUAGAGUCUUGGAGAGGUUAGUGGAAUUCCGAGUGUAGAGGUGAAAUUCGUAGAUAUUCGGAAGAACACCAGUGGCGAAGGCGACUAACUGGACAAGUACUGACGCUGAGGUACGAAAGCGUGGGGAGCAAACAGGAUUAGAUACCCUGGUAGUCCACGCCGUAAACGAUGAUAACUAGCUGUCCGGGCACUUGGUGCCUGGGUGGCGCAGCUACGACAUUAAGUUAUCCGUCCGUCGGGUAGGUACGGUCGCGAAGAAUUAAAACGUUAAAAGGUAAAGUUAGUACGGCGUGAGACGUGCCGAACGGACGACGACGAGGGAGUAGG
rnacentral:rRNA from 1 species